rnacentral:rRNA from 1 species
GACGAACGCUGGCGGCGUGCUUAACACAUGCAAGUCGAGCGGAAAGGCCCUUCGGGGUACUCGAGCGGCGAACGGGUGAGUAACACGUGAGUAAUCUGCCCCUAGCUCUGGGAUAGCUCCGGGAAACCGGGAUUAAUACCGGAUACGACCACUACAGACAUCUGUUCUGGUGGAAAGAAUUUCGGCUAGGGAUGAGCUCGCGGCCUAUCAGCUUGUUGGUGGGGUAACGGCCUACCAAGGCGACGACGGGUAGCCGGCCUGAGAGGGCGA